rnacentral:rRNA from 1 species
CUACGGGAGGCUGCAGUCGAGAAUCUUCCGCAAUGGGCGAAAGCCUGACGGAGCGACGCCGCGUGCGGGAUGAAGGCCUUCGGGUUGUAAACCGCUGUCAGUGGGGAGCAAAUCCGGGAAACCGGUUGAGCUAUCCGCAGAGGAAGCGCAGGCUAAGUUCGUGCCAGCAGCCGCGGUAACACGAACUGCGCGAACGUUAUUCGGAAUCAUUGGGCUUAAAGAGUUCGUAGGCGGCCUAGUAAGUCGGGUGUGAAAUCCCUCGGCUCAACCGAGGAACUGCGCCCGAUACUGUUAGGCUUGAGGGAGACAGAGGUGAGCGGAACUGAUGGUGGAGCGGUGAAAUGCGUUGAUAUCAUCAGGAACACCGGUGGCGAAAGCGGCUCACUGGGUCUCUUCUGACGCUGAGGAACGAAAGCUAGGGGAGCGAACGGGAUUAGAUACCGCCGUAGUC